rnacentral:snRNA from 1 species
UUCAAAAAAGCUAAACAAGAAAG